UCAGGUGACCAGGAACCUCCUGUCCGUCUUUGCAGUCCAGAAAGGCAGCAGUUACCAGCUGAAAUAAAUACCUGUCCUCAGUGUUCCAUGUUACAGAAGGAAAAGGAUGACCUUACAGGAUAGCUAGGUGGAUGUCAGGAUCAUUUAUCAGACAGCUGUUAUCUGUGAAGCCCAGGAGCUGUGGCCCAGCUGCAUCUCUCCAGUUCCUCUCAGCCACUGCUUCCUCUAUAUUCUAGCUGCCAUUUCUGACAGAUUCUGUAUUUAGUAUAUAAAGGAGAUAAAUGGAGAU